CUACUGGGGAUGUGCCUGAAACCAAGGUAUAUGCACUUGACCGGAAUCAAAUCUGGGACCUUUCAGUCUGCAGGCCGACACUGCUGACGCUCUAUCCACUGAGCCACACCGGUUUCGGCUCACACCCACUUCUUCAGGCAAAAAGGGCCACGUUCCUGCCCUGCUCACCAGCCAGCCAUGGGUCUGCACCACAACCCCAUGUAUAACCAAGAGCUGGGCCACAGAGCGGGGCUGCAGGCCGAUGCCCGGCCAGCCGUUGCCAGACACAGGCUGCACUGGGACAGGGGACACGUGUUUCCUCUGCUUAGCUCGGCUCCGGAAAUCAGGCCACCCCCUCCGAAGCCCAGCGGACAGCAGCCUUGAGCCUAAUCCAGAGCUCUUUCCUUCCGGAUACUG